AGCAGCCGCGGUAAUUCCAGCUCCAAUAGCGUAUAUUAAAGUUGUUGCAGUUAAAAAGCUCGUAGUUGAAUUUCGGGAUCAAUAUGUCGGUCGUGCCUUGGUACGUACUGGUAUCAUUGGUCUCUCCUUUCUGACGAACCAUGAUGUCAUUAACUUGGUGUUAUGGGAAGUUAGGACUGUUACUUUGAAAAAAUUAGAGUGUUUAAAGCAGGCUUUAGCUUGAAUACAUUAGCAUGGAAUAAUGAAAUAGGACGUUCGAACCUAUUUUGUUGGUUUCUAGGAUCAACGUAAUGAUUAAUAGGGAUAGUUGGGGGCAUUAGUAUUCAAUUGUCAGAGGUGAAAUUCUUGGAUUUAUUGAAGACUAACUACUGCGAAAGCAUUUGCCAAGGAUGUUUUCAUUAAUCAAGAACGAAAGUUAGGGGAUCGAAGACGAUCAGAUACCGUCGUAGUCUUAACCAUAAACUAUGCCGACUAGGGAUCGGAUG
rnacentral:rRNA from 1 species